CAAUAACAAAAAAGAUUUUUAUGUAUAUGCCGGAGAAUAGGGCUCGGGCGUUUCUACCAGGUUACCGUAAAUAACUUGACUACAUAAAGAUAAGAGAUGGGA
rnacentral:ncRNA from 2 species